CAUGGGCAGAGCACAGCCACUCACCUCAUGGCUGGGGGAUGAGAGAGAGACUGGGGUUCCACUGUCCCCUUCAGGGACACACCCACAGUGACCGGAAGAUCUUCCCUAGGUCCCACUUCACAAUGGUGCCGUGUUGGAGGAACCUAACCUUUAACACAUGGGUCUCGGGGGAGCAUUAUGAUGGGGCCCAGCGGAGAUGUUCACUUCCCCGCGUUCUGGAGUUCUGCUACUUGGCUCUUCUAGGUCGUCACUGGAGAAGUCAAAGCCUCCUCGAGUCCAUUCCAGAAGGACCUAGACUGAUUCUCCUGCAGCUUCUGCUAAUACCAGACCCUGGCUAUGACCAUGACUUCCAUUAAAUGAGCGGUGACAUCUUGAGAACACUGCAAGAAGACACCAUUUUAGAAGGAGGGAGCGGACACUGAAUACGUUGAGGCCUUGAAACAUGGAUUUCCAGCUUCCAGAACUGUGAGAAUAGACAUCUGUUGUUACAAAUAGAAGACAAACACCCAUAUAAGGCAGCUUAUUACAGCAGCAGGAAUAGACUAAGCUUCGCUCUUGAGCGGAUUCUCUCCAGGUGACAAGAAGUCCCCAGCUACUCUGCAUAUCUUGUUCUUUCUGCACAGGACACAGUCUUUCUCCCAACAGGUUCACUUCUGUUCCUCACAAGACCCAGGCUGGAGUUUUGGGCCCUGGUUGUGCUGCUGUGGUGAAGUUCAUGCCCCUCACAGUCACCUUAGGAGCUGCUGCAGGAAGGCUCUGGAGGCAGCUGUAACUGCGAGGAAGAGAAGGCACAGAAGUGGGACUUCCGGAGCACAGAGAGGGUGGCUGGUCAUCCGUGUCCCUUGGUCAUGUGCAGGAGGCUGAGGGCUGAUUGCUUUGAGAGAUUGGACAGAUGAAUGAAGGAGACCACCCACGGGUGUAGCGGAAGUGCGGAGCAAGUGCCACUGCCAUUCCUCACCUCUCUGAUCUGAAGUCUUGGAAUCCAGCAAGUUCUGUGGGCAGCAUCCAUCCACGAAAUAAAAAGGCCGAGGAGGGACCACUGCUUUCUCUGAUUCAGCUUGGACUUCCGUCUUCUGCCUGGAGAUACUGGAGCUCCUGGUUUGUGGGCCUUCAGACUCAGCCUGAAUUUCGCCACUAGCUGUCCUGUUUCUCCAGCUUGCAGGAGGCAGGUGUUGGGACUUGUUGGCCUCUGUACUUACAUGAAUCAAUUUCCAUUAUAAAUCCACCGAUAUUGACAUUAGCAUCGACAUAGAUAUAGGUCCUGUUGCUUUGGGCCUGUGGCUAGGCGGCACAUGAGGGUGAGAGCACGUGACCUCGUGGCCAGGAAGCAAACAGGAAGGGCUGCCAGUCCCAUAGCUCUCGCAAGGAUGUGCCCUGCGUUACCUAAGGACCUCCCAUUAGGCUCCUCCUCCGAAAGGAUCCCCGUAGGGAUGCACAUGAUACAUCCUGCUUCUUUUUCCCAUCUCCCCCUUCCCCUCAAGCUCCCUCCCCUCCCUCCAUACAAAAGCUUUGUUUCA